CCGUCUCUUCCAACUCCAGAUGUGUGAGUACCUGAUCAAAGUCAACGAGAUCAAGACCAAGAAGGGAGUGGACCUUCUCCAGAACCUCAUCAAGUAUUACCAUGCACAAUGCAAUUUCUUCCAAGAUGGCUUGAAGACAGCAGAUAAGCUGAAGCAGUACAUUGAGAAGCUGGCUGCUGACCUCUACAAU